AGGAGCCGGAUGAGGUGAAAGUCUCACGUCCGGUUCUGAAGACGAGCGGGACUCGUGAGAGUUUCGCUUAGUUUAAU
rfam:Tolypothrix sp. PCC 7601 strain TTEX B 481 genomic scaffold FDTTEX481_Contig13, whole genome shotgun sequence.